ACGACCCUCCGCCCCUCCCACGUGGGGUCUUCCUCCCGCCUCCGCCCUCGAGCUCCAUUGUCGCGUCUGCCCCUUCUCACUCCCCUGGUUUUCCAGUUCCCUAUUCAGAUUUUCCCGUCGUGACAGCUGUUUUCCGUGACCUCCGACAAGAGUAAACCUACGCGUGAAUGCACCGAGCAGGAAGUAGCGGUCCCUCGAGCUGCCCCAGGUGCUGGGCGCGGCAGCCGCCUGGCUCCUCUGCCACGCCUUCCCCACCAUGGUGGAUUGAACUCUUUGAAACCUGCUCUAUUUCUGAUUAGAUUCCUGAUUCGAAAUAUGGAAUGUGCUGGAAAACCACAGAAGAGAGCAGUGGCUAAAGUUGCCACUGAACUGGAAGUUCUAAUGUUCAAGUUGAAGACCCUUUGAAUCACUGGCGUGCCCUGCUGGAGUUCAGUGGCGCAAGAGGGAAACUCUUCACACUGUAGGCCCAGGACACAAGAAGGUACCUGGAAAAGAGCAACACAACAAAACUCUGACUCUUUCCCAUGGAAAUGUCUUCCUGGAUUUUCUGACCAUUCAACAUCCCUUCCAAAGAAAAGUUCCAACUUUCUCUUUUCUACGUCUUUCCCCUUGUGUAGGUCACAAACAUUGUUUGUGAGGUAUUAUAUUCAACUGGGAUGAACAUCGUGUAAUAAGAGAAAAAGGCAAUGGGUCACAUAUCUUAAAAAUACACAACAAUUAUUUAGUUGCAAAAGAUAUAGACUAGUUAUUCAGAACCAACAUCCAGAUUUGGGGUAUCAGCUAAAUUGACACAUGAAGCCUUUUUCAAAAAAUUCUCCUUUAUAUCAACCUCAUUUAGUGUUUACUGUUCUCAAUUAUGCUAGUGCCUUCAAAGGUCCUUCCCCACAUCAUCUUCCAUACACAGGGACUUCGUCAAUAUGAAAUCUUUAUCUCAUGAACUAUUGAACACAGGGUGGGGAAUAAAAUAUAAUUCUUUUGGUUUCCAGUA